rnacentral:rRNA from 1 species
AGGACGAACGCUGGCGGCGUGCUUAACACAUGCAAGUCGAGCGAGGCCCUUCCUUCGGGGAGGUGCCCUAGCGGCGAACGGGUGAGUAACACGUGGGCAACCUGCCCCUAGCACUGGGAUAACUCCGGGAAACCGGGGCUAAUACCGGAUAUGACCUUCUUGGGCAUCCUCGAAGGUGUAAAGGAUUCUGGCUAGGGAUGGGCCCGCGGCCUAUCAGCUUGUUGGUGGGGUAAUGGCCUACCAAGGCGACGACGGGUAGCCGGCCUGAGAGGGUGACCGGCCACACUGGGACUGAGACACGGCCCAGACUCCUACGGGAGGCAGCAGUGGGAAUCUUGCACAAUGGGCGAAAGCCUGAUGCAGCGACGCCGCGUGAGGGAUGACUGCCUUCGGGUUGUAAACCUCUUUCAGCAGGGACGAAGCGAAAGUGACGGUACCUGCAGAAGAAGCACCGGCAACUACGCGCCAGCAGCCGC